rnacentral:rRNA from 1 species
CCUACGGGUGACAGCAGUGAGGAAUAUUGGUCAAUGGGCGCGAGCCUGAACCAGCCAAGUAGCGUGAAGGAUGACUGCCCUACGGGUUGUAAACUUCUUUUAUAAAGGAAUAAAGUGAGGCACGUGUGCCUUUUUGUAUGUACUUUAUGAAUAAGGAUCGGCUAACUCCGUGCCAGCAGCCGCGGUAAUACGGAGGAUCCGAGCGUUAUCCGGAUUUAUUGGGUUUAAAGGGAGCGUAGGUGGGUUGUUAAGUCAGUUGUGAAAGUUUGCGGCUCAACCGUAAAACUGCAAUUGAUACUGGCAGCCUUGAGUAAAGUUGAGGUAGGCGGAAUUCGUGGUGUAGCGGUGAAAUGCUUAGAUAUCACGAAGAACUCCGAUUGCGAAGGCAGCUUACUAAACUGCCACUGACACUGAUGCACGAAAGUGAUGGGAGCAAAAAGGAUUAGAUACCCCAGUAGUC